GGGGGUAUAGCUCAGUGGCAGAGUAUAUGCACAGCAUGCACGAGGUCUUAGGUUCAAUCCCCAGUACCUCCA
rnacentral:tRNA from 1 species